GACGAACCGUGCGAACGUUAUUCGGAAUCACUGGGCUUAAAGCGCGUGUAGGCGGGCCGCCCCGUCGGCUGCUGAAAUCCCCCGGCUCAACCGGGGAACGGGCACCGAUACGAGCGGCCUCGAGGGGGGUAGGGGGGUCUGGAACUUCCGGUGGAGCGGUGAAAUGCGUUGAGAUCGGAAGGAACGCCCGUGGCGAAAGCGAGGCCCUGGACCCUUUCUGACGCUGAGGCGCGAAAGCCAGGGGAGCAAACGGG
rnacentral:rRNA from 1 species